UAAUGCGAUGCUGACAGAUUUAUUGAAUCUAACGGGUGUUUUUUGUGUAUUCUUUGGUACUAUUUGAGAGAUUUAGAUUUUAGGUUCAUGCCAAUCAAAGACAGCGUUGACCAAUCACACGCGUUUUCGCUGAGCUUAGGAACGCAAUGUCCAAUCGAAGGCGGUUGAUUAGUCACCGGUGAAGAAUUCCGGUGAGAACAGAUUGCGCGCUCACUGACAGAAUUCUCUGUCAUAAACAACAAAGUGCAGAUAUGAUGUAUGUAAGAAAUUCAUUAAUGCGAUGCAGACAGAUUUAUUGAAUCUAACGGGUGUUUUUUGUCUAUUCUUUGAUACUAUUUGAGAGAGACCCGCGAAAACCCUUGAUUUCACGCCACGCAGUCACGUGGUUCAUUUAGCACCAAUCAGCGCUGCCAAUCUUUUUGAACGGAUAUAGACCUAAAAUACAGCCAAAUAAUAACGCACAAUGUGAAUCAUAUCGCAUUGAUUACUGCUUUGACGACAUUUACAGUAGCAAAUAUUUUUACUAUUAAUAUUACAAUUGAAUUAAAAUUAUUUUGACAUUUAUAGAUGCAAGAUUUUUAGAAAAGAAUACUGUUUCACAAGCAUUUCUUACUUGAUUUUGAGACUGACUGAUCUGAGCACAACCCUUCGCCGCACUUUUCUUCUUGGUUCCUUGUGUUUUGGCUUUCGCCUUGUUCUACAGAGAGCAGUUCAUUUGUUCCUAGUAUUUUUUGCUUGAAACUUAAAUUAAAAUUUAGAUUUUCUGAAUUCUGCAUUUUUUUAAAUAAGCAGUUUUGUUUAGUUUAUUUUAAUAGACAGUUUUUAUUAUUAUUUUUUUUAGAUUUUUUUUAUUUUUUAUUUUUUAGAAUUAGAUUUGUAGAUCUAAUUUAUAAAUAUAAAUUAGUUCUUUUUCUGGUUCUUUUUCUACAUUCUCAUACAUUAAUAAGUUCAUUUUACUUGUAUAGUUCUUUUCUUGAGAAAAAACAAAAAACUCAAAAAAAAAAUUGUUUAUUGCAUUUUUUACAAGUUUACACAGUGUAUUUUUCAUUGUUGUUUAACUGUUUUUUUUUCUUCCUGAGACUACUACAGGUUUUUAUCUUUUCAGGCUCAAGAGCUGUUACGCCAGGAGGACUUUUAAAGAUGCCGCGGAAAGGAAAGAAAUCUCAGGCUCAAAAAAUCCGUUGGAGAAAGUUGACCUGGGAAGAUCUGGAAGAUGAUCAGAACAGACUCUCCAGGAUUAACAAGGUUGAACAGGCAAGCACCAGUGCUGAUGUAGCUCAGUUUUCAGAUAGAGUGUAUGCAGAAGGUGGUGAUAGUGCACCCAGGGUUUUGUCUGUUCAGGCAUCUCAUUGUCAGAAUGAUGUAAGGUAUGAUGAAUUCUC